rnacentral:rRNA from 1 species
UACGGGGGGGGCAAGCGUUGUUCGGAAUUACUGGGCGUAAAGGGCUCGUAGGCGGCCAACUAAGUCAGACGUGAAAUCCCUCGGCUUAACCGGGGAACUGCGUCUGAUACUGGAUGGCUCGAGUUUGGGAGAGGGAUGCGGAAUUCCCGGUGUAGCGGUGAAAUGCGCAGAUAUCGGGAGGAACACCGGUGGCGAAGGCGGUUCUCUGGGCCUGUACUGACGCUGAGGAGCGAAAGCGUGGGGAGCGAACAGG